rnacentral:lncRNA from 1 species
GGAGAAAGCGCUUCCCUCAACGCAGGAGCUGGCGGUCAUCAUCGCUGCUGUCUUCAGGAGUCAGCAAUGUCCUGCACUCUCCCUCUCCCAGCAGUGAGGGGGGGUCAAACAUCCUGACACCUGGGGCCAAAUGUCCCAGCCCACCACCCUCAGGAGGACGUGGUGUGUGGUCAGCUUUCCCGCCAGAAUGCAGGGAACUUGGGGAUAACAACCCCCUCAACCAGGUCCAUGAGGUGGGGUCAGCUACUUGCAAUUAAUUUCUGAUUUUUCUUCAUGAUACAUCUUUUGUUAACAAAUAACAGAGACCACUAAACAGUAGGGGUAUCUGGGGGGGAUAAUUAUUGAGCUGAUGGGAAUUCAGAGACUGGUUCAUGGUCCAAAUGCCAUCUGGAUAGUUCCAAACAGACAAACAAACAAAUCCACAUAAUUCUGUUUUAUCCUGUGGUUCCUUGUUUCAUGAUGCUAGGUGCUUGCGCCUGGAACACAGAAAAUGUAUCACAAAUUGUAUUAAAUAAACCAAACCAACAAAAGGGUAUUUGCAAAAUAAGAGACUUGAGUGACUUGGGUCACUUGAGCCACUCUGUGGAGCUGAGGAUAGGAGGGGUGAGUAGAGGCCACACUAGGUGGUACAGAGCUCCCCAGAACUUGGAGUGUUGGUUAUUGCAGGGUUCCCCAGCCUCCUCCCCAACUUGUCUACUUUUCUACGAGUAACAAUGGACAAGAAUCUCAUUCCCAUUUUUAUGGCUUCUGCUCAGAGUCACUUUUUGCAGAGAGAGAAAUUAUCUAACGUCUCUUUUUUCCAGCAACUGGCACAGUGUUUAGUAUUUAAUAAACAUCAAAAAUGGUCAUUGUAUAUCCCUUGCUUUAAUUAUUCCCAAAGGUAUGACUUGAGAACUAGAACGAGACACAGUGCCCUCUACUUAAUUCAAGCUUUUAUUCUUAAAUUUGAAUUUCUGUAAAGUCUUU